CAAUACAACAACAAAUUCCUUUCUUCUCAGCAAUUCAACUCUAUUCUCUCGAUUUUCACGUUCAACACUAGAUACUUAUGAGAUGCCCGGGAACUUCCUUCUGUAAUGUCAUGAAUGGUUUCGCUGAUUUGCAAUGAUUGAGCAUAUGAUACUGAUAGAAGUGAGGUAGAAAGCAUGAGGGCAACCGAUUUUUGAGUAAAUAAUAAUAAUCUAUCCAGGCACCUGAUAUUUCAUUUAUUUUGUCAAUCCAACCAUCUGAAAUCUUGCAUUCAAUUUGAAGUUUCCGGUUAAUUGAUCAAAAUUCACAACUCCAUCUGUUGGUUUGCAGGUAUAUUUUGAUUUAUCCUCAAGGUUGUGAUGUCUGCAAUGACCUCUCUUUGUUUCUUUGUGUCUCCAAUCAUGACAAGCUUCUGCCAGGAAUGAUGACUGUCCAUGGAACCAUGAUUCUUGCUAGCGUCUAUAAUUUGAAGUAAUUACUAUUGAGUUUUUUUUAUAAAGGUUGGAGUCAUUUUGCACAGUUCACUAUUGCCGUGGUGAACAAAGAUCCUAAAAAGUCGAAAUAUUCCGGUAGGUGACAAUUAUUAUAGCUAUUAUAUAACAUUGGUUUUCAUCAUGUUUUCUUAUCUAGAGUUUCACCCCAAUCUCUAAGUUACCUAUCUUGACAUGCUUCUGUAAACCUGAUGAUACAUUACAUCGUUUCUGGAAAAAUGAGCAUGACUGGGGAUGGAAGAAAUUUAUGGAGCUAUUAAAUGUGUUGGAUGGAUUUAUUGAUGCUGAUAAUUUGAUAAUCAAAGCUCAAGUGCAAGUUAUAAGGUAUUCCCCUUAACUUAGUAUAUUUUGUGUGUGUAUGUGUGUGUGUGUGUGUAAUUUAGGCAUCUAACUGCUAUAAAUUAAUAUAGUUGACAAAAUGGCUUCUUUCGAGUUUCUGAGAGAUAUGGUUUUGCUGAUUUUUCCAACUGGCAUUUCCUUAUGCAAGUUUGUUGAUUUGUUGACAGAAAGUUUUGAUAGGCGAAUCAUUUCUUCAGGCCUAUUAGUGGGGCCAAAUACCGAUUUGGAUCAGUGUACACUUGGAUAAUAGUAAUACACAUUGAUUGGGUCAGUUAAUUUCUGUAAUGUUUUCUCUAAACCUUAAUAUUAAUAUUAAUUUCAGGGAAAGGGCAGAUUUCGUUGAAAUGAUUGUCUGUAUAGGAGGGAACUUGUACGGGUAUAUCUGACAAAUGUAGAACAAAUAUGCCGGAGUUUUGUGGAAGUGCGUCGAGGGAAACUUGGGAAUCUAAUAGAAGAGAAAGCUAGAUGGUCCAAGUAUAGUCGAUACAAUGGGUCAUCUUCAUUUUGAAUAUCAUUUUUAAUUUUAAUUUUUAUGUCAUGCUAUAGAGAUUUAAUAAACUUUCUAUGAUUAUUAUUCAAAUAACUUUAUUAUUAAAAUUUAAAAAUAUUGUUCAUUUUUUAUGAUUUUUUUGCAAGUAAAAUAGGUGGAAUUAAAAAGAUCUUUUUCUCUGCGGGUGGCGGGCAUUUGCAGGUUGCGGAAUGUCAACGUCGAGAAGCAACAACACCCCUACCUCUCAAGCCUCGGCGGGUAUCCGAUGGGUAGUGGGUGGUGGGUAUCCGACAGGUUGCAGAUAUUAGCGGGUUGCGGAUAUGGAUGGCAAAUAAUAGUGGGUGGCAAAUAAUUUUUUCGAAUAUACAUUUCGCCUCAUGUUAGGGAUGAAAGUCCUCUUUAAUUUAUCUUUUCAUUUUAGUUUGAUAUGUAACGUAGACCUAUGUCUUGUUAACAUUUAUUUUAUUGAAUAAUAUUCAUAAUUUAUAAAUAUAUUAUGAAAGGGAGGUGGACUUUUUAUUUAUAAACUAUAACAUCAAAUAAUUCCCGUCGAAAUUCGACGGGUUACACACUAGUUAUGGAAGAAAUAGUUGGGCUUCAAAAUCAAAAUAAACUUUG